GGAAAGGAGUUGGUUAUAAAUUGAAGAUGGUGCAAUCGGCUGGGACUCAGGAACACACCUUCUCGUGGACUGCUCUAAAGGACCUCUCUGACCAUCUAACAAAGACAACGCUAUCCAGGAGGAGGCCGAGCUUUUCUUGGGGGUAAUCGGCUUGUGGUUAAAAUGCCCCAAGCCCAACCUGAGGAAGAGACAGGGGAGCCUGGAGAAAGUCCUUGUCAGAAACCACGCGAUGGUUAUGCCAAUUACCUAAGGGCCGCCAGGAAGGUAAGAGGGAGCGGCCCUGCCAGGGACACCCUCCACCACAUCCAGUUGGCAGAUGGAGCUUAGCUAGAGCAACCGCAGGGGAGCAUCCCCGCCACCACCGCCUGCGCCGCCCGCCGGAAGUUAUCCUCACACCUGGUAGAAGUUGUGAGGUAUCCACGGGGACAACAGAGCCUGUGCUGAGCUGUAUUUCAAAGCGCCAAAUGACACAGGUAGAGAGGAAGCCAACCACCUUACUCCAGCCACAGCCCAGGAAGCCAGAGAACAGAAACGCAUCUGGUGUCAUCAGCAUCUGGGACAAGGCUUCCCAGCAGGAACAGUGUGACUAAGGAAAAGACCCCAGAGGACUCUGGCCCCACCUCUCAUAGCGGAGGAAGACGUUGUUGAGGUCAUCGUUGACAUGCAGCAGCUCCUCGGUGACCUCCUCAUUGGACACUCGGGAG